rnacentral:rRNA from 1 species
AGUCACUGACAUUAGAUACCCGUGUAGUCCAGGGUGUAAACGCUGCAGACUUGGUGUUGGAGGCCCUUUGGGGGCAUUCAGUGCCGGAGAGAAGUUGUUAAGUCUGCUACUUGGGAGUACGUCCGCAAGGCUGAAACUUAAAGGAAUUGGCGGGGGAGCACCGCAACGGGAGGAGCGUGCGGUUUAAUUGGAUUCAACACCGUAAAACUCACCAGGGAAGACUGUUACAUGAAAGCCGAGAUGAAGACUCUGCUAGAUUUUCAG